UCAUAUCCUAUUCACUUAAUUUGCCAUUGUAACCACUCUUUGAGCGUAUUCACUGGGCAAGACCCUUGUAUUACAUGUCUCAUUCAUUUCCCCAUUGCUGUUUUCUCUACUUCUGUUCUAUCAACUGUAGUGAUGCCACCAACUCAUGGUUACAUAUGUGCAGCACCCAGACUCCAGACACAGAACAGGAGGCUCAAGAGGUCGUCGGUGAGGUCCUCAUAGAGGAGCCAGAGGUUGCGGAGGCGGGGCCUUCCAAAGAACCCACAAAUGACAUAGAGAUGGAGGUGUUGGCGCGGGUCCACCUGGAGCAGGUGGUGGAGCUGAGUAUCCUGUUGAAGGGAGAGACGUACAGCGAUGCUCUCAGAGACCCUGCCAGCCUCCAGUACCAGACACUCAACCAGCAGUUCACUGACAAGAUAAAGGAUGCUGUGGGGGGACUGCCAGGCUUUAAGAGUGUGGCUGUGCUGCAGUUCAGGCUUCAGAAGGAUGCCCAAGGGUUGGAUGGUGUGGUGGUGGUCUAUGCGGUGACAGUGGAGGUGGAAGGGGAGGGGGUGAGCAGUGACCAGCUGGACUACCUGACCCUGCAGUCCAAUCUGGUGGAGAACUCCUACAGAGAGGUGAAGGAGAGGAACUACAUCACUGAGGCCCAGCACAAGGACAACAUUAUCAGUGAUACAACUCUGGUCCUCGACCCUGACUCACUGCAACUAUAUACUGUGUCCGGUGUUACUGAGUCCUUUGAACCCACUUCUGGAAUACCCAAGGAUUACACCAACGGCAGUGUGGAGGACAUGUUGGCUGUUGAGAUGACUCCAACCGAGGUUGAAGCACAGGAUGUAGCGACGGGGGAGAAUGAUGUCAUUGUUGUAGAGGAGAGCAUGACCCUCCCCGCUGAGGUGACCAUCGAUGAUAUAAGCAUCGAGGAGGAGGUUCUGCUGUUGGGGAACACCGUGUCUACAGAGAGCCCUUUGUUGGAGGACCUCCCUACAGACCCUACCUCCCCUGAGCAGCCAAAGGGUGCUACGCUCCCCGAGCCUCCUCUGGAGAUUGAGGCCUCUGGAUCAGGUGUUAAAGUACUGAAGGACUUGCACUUCCAGCCUGAGGAAGAAGAAGCCAUAGAAGAAGAGCCAGCUCCAGAAGAGGAACUGACCAUAGAAGAAAAGGUAGUUCCGGAAGAGGUAGUCUCCGAGGAAGAUAUCCAAACGGAGGAAGCAGAAGCGGUAGUCUCCGAGGAAGAUAUCCAAACGGAGGAAGCAGAAGCGGUAGUCUCCGAGGAAGAUAAGGUAGAGGAGGAAACAGUGGAGGUCCCUGACACAGUAGAGGUUCUAGAAGAGGAAGCUGGACCCUCUGAAGACCUAGAGUACUCCAUCAUAGAGACGGAGACCAUUGAAGAGGUAGAGGAAGAGGCCCCUGUCUUCGUCCCUGUGGAAAUGAUGGAAGCUCCCGAGCCAGUGGGGGGCCUCGGUGUCCCCGAGAAUCCCCUUGCCAUUGCGACUCUGCCCCCAGAUGAACCUGAAGAGGAGACUAACGUGGUGCUGGCUUAUCCUGAAUAUGGAGAGGAAAUUGAGAGCUUAGAGGGACCAAUCAUCGAGAAGCCAUUAACUAAAGUGGAUGCUGUGGAAGUGGAGGAAGAGGUGGCAGAAGAAGUGGUCGUUGAAGUUCCGGACAUUUCUGAGAUCUCGGAGGAGGACUUGGCAGAAGACGAGAUCUUAUUGGUCGAUGAGGCUGCUCCGGACGCCACCCACACCACCCCUCUCUCUGCGGAGAAAGAGUCACCCUUCACCCGAGUCUCUGAUUUCAUAGUAUUGGAGGAGGUUACAGAGGCCACAGCCCUGGACACAGCCCCAGAACCAGAGGCAGAACAGGAGGACCAAGGGGUCACCCCAGCUCUCAUACCCGCCGAGUACCACCCUGAUCCCGACAUUUCUAUCACUCUGGAGCUGCAGACGAUAGACCCUGUGACAGACUAUGACCUGGUCCACUUCGGUGGGACAAACCAAACAGAGGAAGGGAGCAGUGGGUACCCUUCUGGAGUGGUAAAUGGUACAGACCACAGCAUUGCCAUGCCAAUCAACCCAGGGCGGGCUCUGAUGGUGUUCUUUAGGCUGAGGGUCACCAACAUGAUGUUCUCAGAUGACCUCUUCAAUAAGAGCUCUGCAGAAUACAAGGCCCUAGAACAAAGGUUCCUCGAGCUGCUGGUCCCCUACCUCCAGUCCAACCUUACUAACUUCCAGAAUCUGGAGAUCCUGAACUUCCGGAAUGGGAGUAUCGUGGUCAACAGUCGGAUGAAGUUCGGGAGGCCGAUGCCCCGCGGUGUCAACAAUGCAGUCUACUUGAUCCUGGAAGACUUCGCUAACACAGCCUACCAAACUAUGAACCUGGCCAUUGACAAGUACUCACUGGAUGUAGAGUCAGGUGACCAGGCCAACCCCUGUAAGUUCCAGGCGUGUAAUGAGUUUGCCCAGUGCUCUGUGAACCGCUGGUCUAGCGAGGCAGAGUGUGUGUGUAAUGCUGGCUACUUCAGCGUGGAAGGUCUGCCCUGUCAGAGCAUCUGUGAACUGCAGACAGACUUCUGUAUGAACGACGGGAAGUGUGACAUCAUACCUGGACAGGGGGCCAUCUGCAGAUGUCGUGUAGGGGAGAACUGGUGGUACCGUGGAGAACACUGUGAGGAGUAUGUGUCAGAACCUCUGGUGGUCGGCAUAGCGAUAGCCUCUGUAGCAGGUUUCCUAUUGGUGGCAUCUGGUGUGAUCUUCUUCCUGGCGAGGACACUACGGGAUCAGUACGAUAAGGAUGAGGCCGAGGACCCUAUACGGCGAGGGGAGAGUAUCCCGUCUCUAGAGAGGGCCACUAAGUACAACCCCAUGUAUGAGAGUGAGGCCACGACGGGCUACAGCCACUACUACCGCCGCUACCCAGAAGCCCCGGUCUACAGCAGCGCCAGCGCCGAGGCCUCCACAGACUUCAGCAGUGAGGAGAUACGCCACAUCUACGAGAACAGCGAACUGACCAAGGAGGAAAUCCAGGACAGGAUACGCAUCAUUGAACUCUAUGCGAAGGACCGGCAGUUUGCAGACUUUGUGCGGCAGCAUCAAACUGCCUUGGAUACACGCAGACAGAGCACCCUUGAUAAACGCAGAGAGAGCACAUCCACGUAGCCCAGUAUGGGACACUCAGCUGUAUGCUGGACAACAAGGUACCUUAUCCUUAACUUUGCUCUUUCCCCGCCCUGCUCUUCCUCCUUUGUCAGUGCCUUCUCUCGAUUGGGUGAGCUCUGCUGGAAUGGGUGUGGUGGCUGUGGGCAUAUCUGCUGCUCAUUGGAUGUCUUCCUUUGGGGGAAGACCGGCCCCCCUCCAUCUGGAAUCAUAUUCGUUACUUGAAAUGAUGACAAACAAAACGCAAUGCUCUCUAGGAUACCUGUUCUUUAGGUAGCAGAUAAGACAUGAUAGAGUAUUACAUUUGCAUUUAAUGUCAUAUCUCACCCAGUUGUUGUUGACGGAAGAAUGUAGCACUGUGAAAGUGUAAAUAUUUAUCCCAUUGGAAUGUUGGAUAGGUACUGUAAUGUGUGAUUAUCACUCUAUCUGCUAAUGUGUUGUAUGGACUGUUAUGGUUAAAGCACUGUAUGAACUAGAGACUUUUCUUAAAGGGAUGGUCUAUACCAGGGGUGCACAACUCAGGCAACUCAGGACCUCAGGCAACUCAGGACCUCAGGCAACUCAGGACCUCAGGCAACUCAGGACCUCAGGCCCUCUGGCAACUCAGGACCUCAGGCCCUCUGGCAACUCAGGCCCUCUGGCAACUCAGGCCCUCUGGCAACUCAGGCCCUCUGGCAACUCAGGCCCUCUGGCAAAUCAGGCCCUCUGGCAAAUCAGGCCCUCUGGGAUCUCUGUUGUUUGAGUUUCUGGCUAGUAGUAAGCCUAGGUAGUGUUCUCCUGAAGUUGGGAGAAGCUAGUUGGAUGCACUCUGUGGGCAAAUCUUAAAUCUCAGCCCUCUAUGGCUCUGGUGAAAAGUAGUGCACUAUAUUGGGAAUAGGGUGUACUUUGACAUUUUAGGAAAAGUGGACAAAUGAAGGGCGAAUCUUCAAUUUUUGUUCAGCUGCAAUAAUUUUCCCCCUCUUCUUUCCCUCCUUCUCUAUCCCUCACUCUCUCUCUACAUCAGGAAGCAGUUGGAGUUUGUUUUCUGUAGGAAAAAAAAGUAUUACGAGAGAGAGGGGGAGGAAGGGAGAGGGGGAGAGAUUUUGCUGAAGGACCAAAAUAUAAGUGAAAACACAUUUAGAAUGGAAACAACCUUCAAGGGGAUUUGAUCAGCCAGUCUGUUUCCAGAUAUGUGUUAGAAAACAUUCAAGAAAGUAUAUCAAAUGUACAUGCAUAAACAACAUGUGCUCUGUGGAUAAGCAAACUCUUAGCAUCGGCUUUUAAAUCAAAUAAAAAUGAACCAGAAACGUGAAAAUGGUCCAUUCUGUAACCACUAGUUUGGACACCGUCCUUGCUUUACCCUGUAAGUAUUUCACAUGAAGAGGACUGGUUUCCAGUGAAUCCUCAAAGUUGCAUCUCUUCAUGCUGUAAGUUUACUUUUCCACAUUUGUUUUGACUGUGAAUAGUCAUAGGAAAUCAUAAGAAUACACAGGUUGAACUCAAAUGGCAACAUAUUCCCUAUAGUGCACUACUUGCCUAAAGUAGUGCACUAUACAGGUUAAAGUGUCCAUUUGAGAUGUGCCCACAGACAUUUAAGAUAUUUCCUGAUUUAGGUUUACAUUUCAUGUUAUCCUGUCCUUUUCUCUCAGGCUUCUGUACGGCUCCACACAAGCGAGAACACGGGUUACUGUGGUUAAGCACAAGCUUACCUUCCACUUAUGAUAUCGUCAUGCCUUUUCAAUCUGUGUGUUUGUUUUUAUACACAUUUUCUCGUGUGCAUAAACUGUUUUUUCUCAACAUUCUCUUCCUGCAUCGGGACUCCUAGCCAAUGGGAUGGAUCCAGAAUGCUGUGAUGUAAAUACUAUCAGAGUGUCGUGAAGUCACCUGUCGACAUGCUUGGUUCAACAACUUAACUCGUGUCAAGGAUUGCUCAUAUUUUUUCACGAGGUCUGUGGGAACGUGGUUUGGUUACAGUUUCACUGAGGGUUUCAAUUAAGAUCACUUUUAGGAGCAGUAAACAUUGAACUUGUUCCUUUUUCUGUCCAGCUCCUGUGUCAUGUAUGGAUGUGGAUACACUGAGUGUACAAAACAUUAGGAACACCUGCUCUUUCCAUGACAGACUGACCAGGUGAAUCCAGGUGAAAGUUCUGAUCCCUUAUUGAUUUCACCUGUUAGAUCGACUUUAACCAGGGAAGUUGAAGAGGAGGAGACAGAUUAAAGAAGGAUGUUUAAGCCUUGAGACAAUUGAGACAUGGAUUGUUUAAGUGUGCCAUUCAGAGGAUGAAUGGACAAGAUAAAAGAUUUAAGUGCCUUCGAACGAGGUAUGGUGGUAGGUGACAGGUGCACCGAUUUGCGUGUGUCAAGAACUACAACGCUGCUGGGUUUUUCACGCUCAACAAUUUCCCAUGUGUAUCAAGAAUGGUCCAC